UUCGCAAUGCCCGAAAGGGUGACGAAGCGACGCCGCGUGUGGGAAGAAGGCCUUCGGGUUGUAAACCACUGUCGGGAGUUAGGAAAUGUAAGGGUGCUAAUAGUAUCCUUACUUGACUAAGGCUCCGGAGGAAGCCACGGCUAACUCUGUGCCAGCAGCCGCGGUAGUACAGAGGCGGCAAGCGUUGUUCGGAAUUAUUGGGCGUAAAGAGCACGUAGGCGGCCUUGUAAGUCAGUUGUGAAAGCCUUCAGCUUAACGGAAGAACAGCAGCUGAUACUGCAAGGCUAGAGUGCGGAAGGGGAGAGUGGAACUUCUGGUGGAGCGGUGAAAUGCGUAGAUAUCAGAAGGAACACCGGCGGCGAAGGCGACUCUCUGGUCCGUAACUGACGCUGAGUGUGCGAAAGCUAGGGGAGCAAACGGGAUUAGAUACCCCGGUAGUCCUAGCCGUAAAC
rnacentral:rRNA from 1 species